UCCAAAUGAGCAGUUAAAAUGGCGGGAGGCCUGACAUUCACAGAACCUUCAAGAACCAGUGUGGCUUCCAGAUCCAAUGCGGCUUCCAGAUCCAAUGUGGCUUCCAGAUCCAAUGUGGCUUCCAGAUCCAAUGUGGCUUCUAGAUCCAAUGUCCCUUCCAGAUCUAAUGCGGCAUCCAGGACAAUACUAAAACGCAGACGAAAACCACCUCCCACAAAGGGAAAACUCGCUGCUGUUUUGCAUCAGAUAGAAGAGUUCUUUGUCUCUUCCAUUGGG